UACGAAGGGUGCAAACGUUGCUCGGAAUUAUUGGGCGUAAAGCGCACGUAGGCGGUAUUGCAAGUCGGAUGUGAAAUCCCUCGGCUUAACCAAGGAAGUGCAUCCGAAACUGCUGUACUUGAGUACGAAAGAGGAUCGCGGAAUUCUCGGUGUAGAGGUGAAAUUCGUAGAUAUCGAGAGGAACACCGGUGGCGAAGGCGGCCAACUGGACAGAUACUGACGCUGAGACACGAAAGCGUGGGGAGCAAACAGG
rnacentral:rRNA from 1 species